GGACGAGAGUUAAUGGAUGAUAAAACUAAAGAAAUAAUUCAGGGAAAGUGGCUGGAAGUUGUUGCUAAACAAACUGGGUUUCAAGAUUAUAAUGAGUUGAGGAGUGCAUUCUGAAAGGAAAAGAGAAAUAAUAAUUAAGAAAUAUUUAAAAUUGUGGGUGAUGACGUAGGGGUGAUGACGUAGGUGACAUAUCACGUAAAUUUUGUAGGUGC